rnacentral:lncRNA from 1 species
CGGACUAGUCAUCAGUAUUAUCUCCAUUCCAUUGGGGGAUUAUUUGAGUUUGAGUCCAAAUAACUUUAUGUUAAACAAAAAAAUUACAACAACUUAAAAAUAUUAUUCUUGAGAAACAUUUUUUUGAUGUCAAAAGGUUAUUCUAUUACUCAAACUUGAGGUGGUCUGGCUAACCAGACCAGAAUAUAACAACCAAUAAAAUGUAACUCCCUAUGGAUAGAUCUACCAGUCUUAACUAAAAAAUUUGAAAUCUGAUUGCGCGCUUGUGGAACAUGAAUGAUGUUGAAAUCCGAGAAGCAUAUCUGCAGCGUAUCUAUCAUUUCCAAUUCUGUCGCAAAACUUGGCCAGACAUGAAGUUCCUUUAUCAUUGCUAUCAGCUCUUUACAGUCAUUCCCGAAGCUCUGGCAUGUUGAAUGUUGAAGCAUGUUCUCCAUU